UGUUUGUACAGAGCUUGCCACAGAGCUGAGGGUAAACACGACUCGAUUUCCACUGGUAAAAAUUUAACACAAGGGCACUAAAAUUACUGAUCUACCUGUUUAUCCGCAUUUAUCUAUCUGUCUGCUGUUUACCUAUCCAUCCGUCGUCUGUCUACUCUGAAUCUCACAGACAGACCUCUGUAACUGCUCAUUAUCACCAAAUGUCCUUUCAAGUGUCAAAUUGCUAAAGAAAAAUCUAAUUUGGCUCUCCAGAUGACGUGUAAGACUUAUUGAUUCAUUCUGAUUGGCCUAAGUGAGGCAUAAAGAGAAGGCAAGUAAUGCAUUUCUGCCAGCUCAGACCCAGCACCAUCAACAUUUGGACCACUCCCCAUCCC